rnacentral:rRNA from 1 species
GUCCACGCCCUAAACGAUGCGAACUAGUCGUUGGGGGAGCAAUCCCUUAGUGACGCAGCUAACGCGUGAAGUUCGCCGCCUGGGGAGUACGGUCGCAAGAUUAAAAACUCAAAAGGAAUUGACGGGGCCCGCACAAGCGGUGGAUGAUGUGGAUUAAUUCGAUGCAACGCGAAAAACCUUACCUACCCUUGACAUGUCAGGAACCCUGAUGAAAGUUGGGGGUGCUCGAAAGAGAACCUGAACACAGGUGCUGCAUGGCUGUCGU